GACGUUGAUAGGAUGCAGGUGUAAAGACAGCGAUGUCAAAGCCGAGCAUUACUAAUUGCCCGAACACUUUCUUUAG
rnacentral:rRNA from 1 species